GCUCUUUCUUUCCAUCUUGGGACCUGCAGAAUGGCUCCCACAAAGAAGGGUGGUAAGAAGAAGAAGGGUGGAUCUGCCAUCAAUGGGAUGAUGACUCAAGAACACACCAUCAACGUUCACAAACACAUCCAUGGAGGGGGCUUUAAGAAGCAUGCACCUCAGGCAUUCAAAGAGAUCUGGAAAUUUGUCAUAAAAGAGAUGGGGACUCCAGAUGUGCACAUUGAUACCAGGCUCAACAAAGCUGUCUGGGCCAAAGGCAUUAGGAAUGUCCCAUACUGUAUCUGUAGCAGUUGUCCAGAAAACAUAAUGAAAAUGAAGAUUCACCAAACAAGCUCUAUACUUUGGUUACCUAUGUACCUGUUACCACUUUCAAAAAUCUACAGACAGUCCAAGUGGAUGAGAACUAAUUGGUGAUUGUCAGACACAUCAAAUAAAGUUAUAAAA